GCUGAGCCUCCACGGUGGAGGGGGCAUUCACUGAGUUGCCUUUGUAUGCUGGGAACACCAAGCCGAGGUCCCCAAUCUGCAGCCCGGAGUCUGAGCAGCCAGAUGAUGCAUGAGUGACGUUUUUGAUGGAAAGAGAUGGCGAUGAACUUGUUCAGGAUGCAAUUGAAGUUACCAAGGCAGUUUAAUUGGACGAACUUUAUUUUUCUCUUUUCGACUUCAUCACCGCUUUUCCUCUUGGCCUCUGACAAGCAGACUAAGAAAGAGUCCUCUUCCUCGGGGUCUACUUCACAUUUGGACAAGGACCCUGCAGAGUCAUGCCCACAGCUCUGACAAUUUCUGCUGGUGCUGCAGCAGCUUCUGAAGUUCUAGAAGCCUCUUCUCCGAGCAACUGCCUCCCUAAGCCUACAGACCCCUGUGUGUAUACCUGUAAUUUAU